rnacentral:lncRNA from 1 species
UUCACUUUUAUUCCUUUUUAUUUGCUUUGUAAUAAUUUGUAAUCACAUUAUUCACUUUUGCUUUUUAUUAUCUUUACGCAGUUUUAUCCAGCUUUAUUUGCUUUUCUAUUCAUCUUUUUCUUCAGAUUUAUUUGCUUUUUAGUCUCUUAUUUUUAAAUAACUUUUUUUUUUUUUUUAAAUGCCCCAUAGCGACCCAGAGAAACUCAUAGAGCCCCACAGCCCCUGUAGACAUCUCAUAGAGCUGCACAGCGACCACUAGAGACUCAUAGAGACCCCAUAGCGAUCACAUAAUGAUCACAUUGCGGUGGGUCUGGGCUGGGUGUGAGGCCAAGGUGGGGUUAAUAAAGGCCUGGGGGCGUGGUCUGGGCUGUGGGAGGGCUCUGGGAGGGGUGGGGUUAAUAAAGGCCUGGGGGUGUGGUCUGUGCUGUGGGAGGGCUGUGGGAGGGGCGGGGUUAAUGGAGGUCUGGGGGUGUGGUCUGUGCUGUGGGAGGGGCUAAUGUAGGAGGGUGGGUGUGGUCUAGGCUCAGGGGGGUGGGUAGUACCAGGGGAUGAGGCCUCUGUUGGGGUGGACCAAUGAGGGACAAGGGGUGUGGACUCAGGUGAGGGUGUGAUCGAGGCUGUGGGUGGGGCCAGGGCUGGUGAGGGGUGGAGCUGUGGUGUAGACAAGGGGCGGGGACUGUGCUGGGGGCGUGGUCUAGGCUGUGGCUAGGGCUGGGGGUGUGGCCGGGGUGGGGUCUCAGCUAGGGGCAGGGUUCAGGUUGGCCUAGGGUGUGGGGGCCGACUGGGGGUGUGGCCUGGCCAGGGGCAUGUUCAGGUAGGGUUAGUACAGGGGUGGGGGUCUGAGACCCCACCCUGGCUGUGCCCCCAGCCCUAGCCACAGCCUAGACCAUGCCCCCAGCACAGUCCCCGCCCCUUAUCUACACCACAGCUCCACCCCUCACUAGGCCUGGCCCCACCCAUAGCCUUGAUCACACCCUCACCUGAGUCCAUGCCCCUUAUUUGUCAUUGGUCCACCCCAACAGAGGCCUCAUCCCCUGGUACCACCUACCCUCCUACAUUAGCCCCUCCCAGAGCCCUUCCACAGCACAGACCACGUCCCUUCCAGAGCCCUUCCACAGCACAGACCAUGCCCCCAGGCCUUUAUUAACCCUGCCUUGGCCUCACACCUAGCCAAGACCCACCAUAAUUUAUGGGGAUCUAUGGGUCACUAUGGGGUCUAUAUGGGUCCAAUGGUUGCUGUCGGGUGUCUGUGGGUCACUGUAUGGCUCUAUGCGAUGCCUGUAGGGUGUACAGGGCUUUAUGGAGUGUCCAGGAGUCUCUCUGGGUCGCUACGGGGCAUCUGGAAAAAAAAAAAAAAAGUUACUAAAAAGGACGCAAAAGCAAAUAAAGCUGAAAAAAAAUUAAAUUAAUAAACCGCAAAUAAAGCUGAAUAAAACUGUGUAAAGUCAACAAAAAGCAAAUAAAAGUGAAUAAAGUGAUUGUAAGUUAUUACGAAGUAAACAAAAAGGAAUAAAAGUGAA